UUGUGCUGUGGCUCAGUGGUAGAGCACUUGCCUAGCAUGUGUGAGGCCCUGAGUUCGAUCAACAACUAAUAAA
rnacentral:tRNA from 1 species